AUGGACCUCAAGGAGAGCCCCAGCGAGGGCAGCCUGCAACCUUCUAGCAUCCAGAUCUUCGCCAACACCUCCACCCUCCAUGGCAUCCGCCACAUCUUCGUGUAUGGGCCGCUGACCAUCCGGCGAGUGCUUUGGGCAGUGGCCUUUGUAGGCUCCCUGGGCCUGCUGUUGGUGGAGAGCUCCGAGAGAGUGUCCUACUACUUCUCCUACCAGCAUGUCACCAAGGUGGACGAGGUGGUUGCCCAGAGCCUAGUCUUCCCAGCUGUGACCCUCUGCAACCUUAAUGGCUUCCGGUUUUCCAGGCUCACCACCAAUGACCUGUAUCAUGCUGGGGAACUCCUGGCCCUGCUUGAUGUCAACCUGCAGAUCCCUGACCCACAUCUCGCUGACCCCACAGUGCUGGAGGCCCUGCGGCAGAAGGCCAACUUCAAACACUACAAACCCAAGCAGUUCAGCAUGCUGGAGUUCCUGCAUCGUGUGGGCCAUGAUCUGAAGGAUAUGAUGCUCUAUUGCAAGUUCAAAGGACAGGAGUGUGGCCACCAGGACUUCACCACAGUGAGUACUUGGUUUUCAGCUCACUCUUGUACUUGGUCUUCUGGAGAACUGAUGCGCCGGUGGUCUUCUGCUUGGCUUGGUGUCACCCUGGGUUUUCCAAUCGGGGGAGAGAGAGCAGAGCCUCAGCUGAAGGCCAAGAGGGUAGUUGGUGAGAGUUGUUGGAGCUGCCAGGAUGGAGCACUGUGGUCCAUUCAGAUAUGCAGGGCCACAGGGGCUUGCCGUGGGGUCACUUCCCCAGAUGUGCUGAGUUGGCUUCCUCCCAACUAG